rnacentral:snoRNA from 1 species
UCGUCAGUGCGGUACAUCCUGACCUGCCCCGCCCCCUUUUUAUAGGGACGGGCAGCACGUGAUGAGCGCGGCGUGAUGACGUAAUGAUUACGUUCACGGAGCGGGUGGGCGGGGAAAUAAGGCAACAACCAAGCCCCGCCCACCCCAACGCCUCUGAU